GUAAGUAUAGCUCAGUGGUAAGAGUGCAUGCUUAGUAGGCACAAGGUCUUGGGUUCAAUCCCCAGUACCUCCA
rnacentral:tRNA from 1 species